rfam:Salpingoeca sp. ATCC 50818 unplaced genomic scaffold supercont1.7, whole genome shotgun sequence.
GAUUCUGUGGUCUAGUGGUGAGGACGUUGGUCUUACACACCAAAGAUCGCCGGUUCGAUCCCGGCCAGAAUCA